GCGGAGCUGAUCCACAAUACCGCGUGUGUGAAGAAGGCCUUAGGGUUGUAAAGCACUUUCAAUAGGGAGGAAUACCUUUUAGCUAAUACCUAGAAGAAUGACAUUACCUAUAGAAGAAGCACCGGCUAACUCCGUGCCAGCAGCCGCGGUAAUACGGAGGGUGCAAGCGUUAAUCGGAAUUACUGGGCGUAAAGCGUGCGUAGGCGGCUAAUUAAGCCAGAUGUGAAAGCCCUGGGCUUAACCUGGGAACUGCAUUUGGAACUGGUAAGCUAGAGUUGAGUAGAGGUAAGUGGAAUUUCAGGUGUAGCGGUGAAAUGCGUAGAGAUCUGAAGGAACACCAGUGGCGAAGGCGACUUACUGGACUCAAACUGACGCUGAGGUACGAAAGCGUGGGUAGCAAACAGGAUUAGAUACCCUGGUAGUCCACGCUGUAAACGAUGUCAACUAGCCGUUGGUCUUUAUAUACAGAUUAGUGGCGAAAGCAAACGCGAUAAGUUGACCGCCUGGGGAGU
rnacentral:rRNA from 1 species